rnacentral:rRNA from 1 species
UACAGAGGGGGCAAGCGUUAUUCGGAAUUAUUGGGCGUAAAGGGCGCGUAGGCGGCCUGACAAGUGACGGGGUGAAACCCCCUCGGCUUAACCGAGGAACUGCCCGUUAGACUGCCAGGCUUGAGACCGGGAGAGGUGAGUGGAAUUCCCAGUGUAGCGGUGAAAUGCGUAGAUAUUGGGAGGAACACCAGUGGCGAAGGCGGCUCACUGGACCGGUACUGACGCUGAGGCGCGAAAGCGUGGGAGCAAACAGGGAUU